GAAAAAUAUCAACAUCUACUCAGCCGAAUUCAUCCUCACCGGAGUACUGCGUCAAUGCAUUGAGUCUGAUGCCUUCCUGCUUUCAUGACAGUCGGAGGACGUAUGUACGAGCAAUUUAGGCACAGAAUGCACAGAUGUUGCACUCAAAUCAUCGACCAAACCUUUGCAAGAACUGCCCGAUUCAUGCAACGUUCAAAUCUAAUUACGUGCAAAACAUCACUCUAUGCAAUGUUUUUUUAGAGCCAUAUGUUUGCAGUGUUGUGUUUACGUAAUUGUUUUCCACAAGGGUACCUUUCAUUUGUAAAUUGUGUUCAUAGAAGCAGCAGACACAGGCAGUCUUGUUUUCGUGCCAGUUAUGUGUCACUUUACAAGUUAGGUGUUGUGUGUUGUUCAGUGAUUACGUAUUUACAGCUGUCUAGUCAGUAUCUCGGUUAUCUCUCAUUUUGUUUUUGUUUUCGUUUAUUUGUAUGUGCGUGUGUUUUGCACUUUUUGAAAGUGCUUUGGCCACCUGUUGUUCGCUGUGAAUGUUUUGUGCAUUAAACCAAGAGUUUGAGUUUUUUUUUUAC
rnacentral:lncRNA from 1 species